UACGUAGGGGGCAAGCGUUGUCCGGAAUUAUUGGGCGUAAAGAGCUCGUAGGCGGUCUGUCGCGUCGGGAGUGAAAAGCUGGGGCUCAACCCCAGUCCUGCUUCCGAUACGGGUGGACUAGAGGUAUGCAGGGGAGAGCGGAAUUCCUGGUGUAGCGGUGAAAUGCGCAGAUAUCAGGAGGAACACCGGUGGCGAAGGCGGUUCUCUGGGCAUUACCUGACGCUGAGGAGCGAAAGCGUGGGGAGCAAACAGG
rnacentral:rRNA from 1 species